CGAUAGCUAUCGGGUGGAGCGGUAUCUUUUUUGUCUUUUCCAGUAACAAAAACGGAAAAGACAAAAAAGAUAUAGCGGAAAACGGGAACAUGG
rnacentral:sRNA from 1 species